rnacentral:rRNA from 1 species
GAUGAACGCUGGCGGAAUGCCUAACACAUGCAAGUCGACCGGAAUCUCGAUAUUUAAUUUUGCUUUAGGUGGGGGAGUGGUGAGCAACGGGUAAAGAACUUGGCUCAUAGCUUUUCAUGACGCUUGGAAAAGAAUACUAAAACCUAAUAUUAUAUUCAAAGUUCGUGUUAAAUUUAUGAAAGUUAUAAGCGCUGUGAUAGAGCUUCGCGUCCGACUAGCUAGUUGGUGAGGUAACUACUCACCAAGGAGACGAUGGGUAGCCGGCCUGAAAGGGUGAUCGGCCACAAGGGGCCUGGGACACGGCCAUUACGCAUACUGGGGGAAGGAGUGGAGAAUAUUGGACAAUGGACCGAGAGUCUGAUAAAGCAAUUCUGUGUGAAAGAUCAAGUUUUUCGGAAUGAAAAGUGCUUUCAUUUGGGAAGAAACAAAUGACGGUACCAAAAGAAGAAGUGACGGCUAACUACGUG